UACAGAGGGUGCGAGCGUUAAUCGGAAUUACUGGGCGUAAAGCGUGCGUAGACGGUUAUUUAAGUCGGGUGUGAAAGCCCCGGGCUCAACCUGGGAAUUGCAUUCGAGACUGAAUAGCUAGGGUACGGUAGAGGGAAGUGGAAUUUCCGGUGUAGCGGUGAAAUGCGUAGAUAUCGGAAGGAACACCGGUGGCGAAGGCGGUUCUCUGGGCCUGUACUGACGCUGAGGAGCGAAAGCGUGGGGAGCGAACAGG
rnacentral:rRNA from 1 species